CAGUAGCCGCGGUAAUACGAAGGGGGCUAGCGUUGUUCGGAUUUACUGGGCGUAAAGCGCACGUAGGCGGCUUGGUAAGUUAGAGGUGAAAGCCUGGAGCUCAACUCCAGAAUUGCCUUUAAGACUGCCGAGCUAGCAGGUGAGAGAGGUGGGUGGAAUUCCGAGUGUAGAGGUGAAAUUCGUAGAUAUUCGGAAGAACACCAGUGGCGAAGGCGGCUCACUGGCUCAUACUGGACGCUGAGGUGCGAAAGCGUGGGGAGCAAACAGGAUUAGAGACCCCCGUAGUCCCUGUCUCUUAUAC
rnacentral:rRNA from 1 species